rnacentral:tRNA from 2 species
UCCGAAAUGGUCUAGUGGUUAGGAUAUCCGCCUCUCACGCGGAUGGCCGGGGUUCGAUUCCCCGUUUCGGAA